rnacentral:tRNA from 1 species
UGGGGUGUCGCCAAGUGGUAAGGCAGCGGUUUUUGAUACCGGCAUGCCCAGGUUCGAAUCCUGCCACCCCAGCCA